rnacentral:rRNA from 1 species
UCAUCUUCGGGGGUAGAGCACUGUUUCGACUAGGGGGUCAUCCCGACUUACCAACUCGAUGCAAACUGCGAAUACCGAAGAAUGUUAUCACGGGAGACACACGGCGGGUGCUAACGUCCGUCGUGAAGAGGGAAACAACCCAGACCGCCAGCUAAGGUCCCAAAGUCAUGGUUAAGUGGGAAACGAAGUGGGAAGGCUCAGACAGCCAGGAUGUUGGCUUAGAAGCAGCCAUCAUUUAAAGAAAGCGUAAUAGCUCACUGGUCGAGUCGGCCCGCGCGGAAGAUGUAACGGGGCUAAACCAUGCACCGAAGCUGCGGCAGCGACACAAAGUGUUGUUGGGUAGGGGAGCGUUCUGUAAGCCUGCGAAGGUGUACUGUGAGGUAUGCUGGAGGUAUCAGAAGUGCGAAUGCUGACAUAAGUAACGAUAAUGCGGGUGAAAAACCCGCACGCCGGAAGACCAAGGGUUCCUGUCCAACGUUAAUCGGGGCAGGGUGAGUCGACCCCUAAGGCGAGGCUGAAAAGCGUAGUCGAUGGGAAACGGGUUAAUAUUCCCGUACUGGUGGUAACUGCGAUGGGGGAACGGAGAAGGCUAGGUUGUCCGGGCGACGGUCGUCCCGGUUCAAGCAGGUAGGCAGAGUGAUUAGGCAAAUCCGGUCACUUAAUGCUGAGAUGUGAUGACGAACCACUAAGGUGGUGAAGCAAUUGAUGCCCCGCUUCCAGGAAAAGCCUCUAAGCUUCAGGUUACCAACAAUCGUACCCCAAAC